rnacentral:tRNA from 1 species
UCCCUGGUGGCCCAGUGGUUAAGGAUCCAGCACUGUCACUGCUGUGGCUGGGGCUCAAUCCCUGGCCUGGGAA